rnacentral:rRNA from 1 species
UACGUAGGGGGCAAGCGUUGUCCGGAUUUAUUGGGCGUAAAGAGCGUGUAGGCGGUUAGGUAGGUCCGUUGUGAAAACUCGAGGCUCAACCUCGAGACGCCGAUGGAAACCAUCUGACUAGAGUCCGGAAGAGGAGAAUGGAAUUCCUGGUGUAGCGGUGAAAUGCGCAGAUAUCAGGAGGAACACCGAUGGCGAAGGCGGAUCUCUGGGCCAUUACUGACGCUGAGGAGCGAAAGCGUGGGGAGCGAACAGG